GUGCUCACUUCAUCAACACACAGACUAAAACUAGACUGAUACAGAGAUUAGCAUGGCCCUGCACAAAGAUGACAUGCAAAUUCAUGAGGUGUUUCAUAUUUUU
rnacentral:snRNA from 1 species